CAGAGAGUCAAGGAGCUGAAAAUACAUGCCUCAAGAUCCCCAGAGAAAAAGUAGCUGAUCCGGGGAGUGUGAACUACCACGGAGGCUACGUGGAGCGCGUGGCAUCUGUGUUUGGAAAGCUUCAUAACCACCUGCUGUGAGCGGGACAUGCUUCCUCAGCAUCUGAGUUAGGGUCAAGGGGUCAACCUGAACUGAUAAGCCCCAGUGAACAUUUCUUUCAGGCUGGGCUUGAAACCUCAGAGGGCCCCAUGACUAAGCGCUGGUCCUGUGUGUGCUGAGUCAGCUCAGCCAUCCUCCUGCCAAGGGGCACACGUCCCAAGGCAACAUGAAGUUUCCUCUUUCGAGUGAGUCCAUUUGGAUCAAAGUCUUCAGUAAAUGGAGAAACAGGAGGUACUGCCACAGCAAACUCAAGCUGGUGCUCUGUAAAUGGUGGAAGUGUAGAAACCCCGAGCUGGUCCAUCCUUGUCUUUCCUGAGUAUGAGGUGGAAAAACGGAAGCCCAGGAAGUUGAAAUGGAUUGCUUGAGGACACACAGCAGGCCACAUCUGCUGAAUCCUUCUUGGGGCUCUUUUCACAUGUCCUACUCAAAGUUUCAAACUUUCAUGGAACUUUCCAAGCUCAAACGACAAGCUUGGACACCCUGUGUCAAUGCUGAUUGGCAUGUUUCCUUGAUUGCUCUAAAAGGGAUGUGAAUUAUGACCCUUUAAAGAUCCAGAUUAUGCCAAAAGCAGGCCUUCCAGCCAGGAUGUCCCUGAAGUGCCCAGUUCCCUCCCUAAGAGCAAAUGAACAUCCUUUAUAAGGCACUGCUAUAGCAUAAUCACCAUCAGAGAGGCUCAAAGUGCUUAUGGUAAUCCUAGAAAAAUGGCUUUAAAAUCCCAUUGUUUAGAGCUUCUGCCUGCAAGAUACAACUAAAAACCCUGACUAUUAUAUGCAAAACAAAUGUUAAAAGACUCAAGCGUGGAGAGAAGGAAGUGUAGGACCUGAGGAACGACGACCAACCGGGCAGUGAUUUCCCCGGGUAUUCUCUUGCCUGAUACACCCUGGACUUGGAGUUGAAGCCAACUACCUGCAAACACUAACAGGCACAGACAAAAAAAAGUCCCAGCAAAACUCAACCAAAACCCACUCUCUCCAGCCAAAGGACCAAGAAAGGGGCAGCCUAGCAAAACAAAAAACUUUUAGAUAAUAAUCACUCCUCUCCAGCCAAUCACCACAAAAAAACACUGUGGUCCUGCCCCCACCCAAGCCAACAAAGGCAGACUAAGGAACUGAGACUUCCAUCCUUGCGGGGCUGUACUAAGGAUAGUAUCAGAAAAGACGAAGAAAAGAUCAGGAAUUUUAUCACCAUUCAUCUCAGUGGAGACCAUGUGGAGAGCCUGGACUUUCAGCUUCAUCCUGCAGUAAUGAGGUGUCCCUCCUCUUCCCCCUAAAGUGGUAGAGAGGUGAGAGUUUCAGCAUAAUCCAUCAGUAACAAGGUCAUCCCCAUCAUGGUGUCACUGGAACAUCUACCCCUGCGCAGAAGUAACAGAGGCCAAGUGGAGAACCUGGACUUCCAUCAUCACCUGGCAGUAACAAGGCAGAGUCCCUCUUCUUUCUUCUGCCAGAGUGAUGUCAGAGAAAGCCAGUUAAAACAGAAGGUUUCAAUAAGAUCAGAGUAUCAUAACCUAAUCUUAAAAUUCCCAUGUUUCAAAAAUCACUUGUCAUACCAAGUACCAGGAAGAUGUCAAAUUGAAUGAAAAAACAAUCACUAGAUGACAACACAGAGACGAUGAAAUUAUGUUAGAAUUCCUUGGCAAUGAUUUUAAAACACCCAUGAUAAAAAUGCUUCAUAGAACAAAUAUGAGCUUGUUGCAAACAAAUAAAAAAUAGAAAGCCUCAGGAAAGAAAUAAAAAGUCUCCACAAAGAUCUGUAAAGAAUAUAAAGGGAAACCCAGUGGAAAUUUUAGACCUGAAGAUAAAACCUCAGUGGCUGGACUCAACAGUACAGUGAAAGAGCAGAGGAAAGAAUCAGUGAAUUUAAACACAGAACAAUCUGAACAAGAG
rnacentral:lncRNA from 10 species